UAGGGUGAAUAAGUUAUAGCCGUUUGAAGUUAAGGUGUCAAUUUGAGAUCUACUGUUACUCUUUUGAGUUUAAGAGGAGUCUUACGGAAGCUUUUGGAGAUCGGAAGGUGCGGCUAGAAGGGCAACUUCAAGACAUACAUCUUUUGCGAAGGAAAUUUUGCAUUUGGAGUUUAUGUGAAGGAUUUAUGGGGAGUUAAAAACAGCACAUU
rnacentral:lncRNA from 1 species